CCACAAGAGGGAACCGGUCCAGGGAGGGAAAGAACCCAUCCAUCUGCUAAAUGCCACGGAGAGUGACCCCAGCCCAAGUCUCCUCUCAGCAUGUCGGAGGGCUCCCCUUUACUGUAUCUGGCAAAGCCCCAUCUGGUGAAAGACCGUGUCUCUUCCUCAGACUCCACUUGCACCUCAGCAGCAGGCUGUUGUCAAAAUAACACCGGAGACUAUACUGAUGGGCUUCCUUCAAAUACGCGAUCGGAUCAGAAACUCCUGUGGGCUCACCAGAUGUCAGGAGCGAUGGGACACCAGAGGCGGAAGAACCUAUGUCCCCAGGCUACAGCAAAGCUCCCAGCCCUAUGAAAAUCAUCUAGCCUGCUCUGAGCCACAUGCCUAGAGGUCACAGAGGCAUGCGGGAAAGUGAGAGGAAGUGGAAACGUGCUACAAAAAGGGCUCAAAGCAAUGUGCUCACCACCGGAAAAAAAAAUAAAAAUAAACACCCUCA
rnacentral:lncRNA from 1 species